rnacentral:tRNA from 1 species
UCUCUGUUAGUAUAUCGGUUAGUACACGCGCCUGUCAUUCGCAUUGACCGCGCGAAAGCGGGGUUCGACUCCCCGACAGAGAG